CAUCAUUCUACCCUUCAUUUAAAAUGUCAACAAAACAAAGAUGAAAACUAAAUCAAAUUAGUUGAUCAUUUAAUAAAUCAAAUCCAUCCUUUUACCUUGAUGACACAUUUUUAGUACUUCAUGACUUCCUGAAGCUGUUGGUGGGUGAGCGGAGCCAAUGGCUCACUGCAAUUUUGGAGCCAGCCUUAUUUUUUUUUUCAAUAUUUUAUUUUCUCUCUCAU
rnacentral:misc_RNA from 1 species